rnacentral:rRNA from 1 species
UACGUAGGGGGCUAGCGUUAUCCGGAAUUACUGGGCGUAAAGGGUGCGUAGGUGGUUUCUUAAGUCAGAGGUGAAAGGCUACGGCUCAACCGUAGUAAGCCUUUGAAACUGGGGAACUUGAGUGCAGGAGAGGAGAGUGGAAUUCCUAGUGUAGCGGUGAAAUGCGUAGAUAUUAGGAGGAACACCAGUGGCGAAAGCGGCUCUCUGGACUGUAACUAACACUGAGGCACGAAAGCGUGGGGAGCAAACAGG